GGUGAACAACCCGGCUUCCGGCGCUGCUCUUUUCCCGUGCUCUUGUGGAUUUCCACUUUUUACUAUUUUUCUUCUGAUGCGCAAGGGUGCUUUGUGCACCCGACAGGAAAUGCGGAUAACUUUUAACAAUGGAUCUCUUGGCUCUCGCAUCGAUGAAGGACGCAGCGAAAUGCGAUAGGUAGUGUGAAUUGCAGAAUUCAGUGAAUCAUCGAAUCUUUGAACGCACAUUGCGCCCUCUGGUUAUCCCAGAGGGCACUCUUGUUUGAAACCCCGGAGAGGACGGUCGCUUUGCGGCCAGGUUGCUGGACGUGCAAAAGUUUGGGGUCAUUCGGGAACAGCGUUUGAGGCCUUCCUCCGCAUCCAAGUCUGACAAACCCGAGCAGCUCCCGGGAGAAGAAGGGUCCGCGAAAGAAUAUGCGGUUUCCCGCGUUUUUUUCGCGUCUGAACGUGUGUGCUUCCGUUCACAUGAUCCCCCCGGUGAUUCCAGGCCCAACAGGCACGCCGUCGUAAUGAGCAUCGACGGUGUACAUUGGUAUUAUAUGUAUCAAGUCGAACGACAAUACAUAUAAUAUUAAUGUAUAUAACUAUUUACGUGUUCUCGUGCGGCCCGGUCGUCCCAAAUGUAUCCCUUUACGUCGCCGGUGAAUAACCCUCCAUCUGUUACCUCUUUCUGUUGCUUUUCUGCGCGUUUGGUGCUUUCGUUAGGGUGUACUAUAUGUGCUUUUUAGUAUAUAGAAGGUUGGUGUCGCUUUGCAGUUUCUUAGGUAGUUGGAGAUUUCAGAACGACCGGGAGCGGAAGUAGCCACAUGGCAAAAAAUGACGUUCAGGCCAAUUUUAUUUUCACCAGAAUGGAAGGGGGUUUCAAAUCAAGAGGGAUUACCCG
rnacentral:rRNA from 1 species